rnacentral:rRNA from 1 species
GACGAACGCUGGCGGCGUGCCUAAUACAUGCAAGUAGAACGCUGAAGGAGGAGCUUGCUUCUCUGGAUGAGUUGCGAACGGGUGAGUAACGCGUAGGUAACCUGCCUGGUAGCGGGGGAUAACUAUUGGAAACGAUAGCUAAUACCGCAUAAGAGUAGAUGUUGCAUGACAUUUGCUUAAAAGGUGCAAUUGCAUCACUACCAGAUGGACCUGCGUUGUAUUAGCUAGUUGGUGAGGUAACGGCUCACCAAGGCAACGAUACAUAGCCGACCUGAGAGGGUGAUCGGCCACACUGGGACUGAGACACGGCCCAGACUCCUACGGGAGGCAGCAGUAGGGAAUCUUCGGCAAUGGACGGAAGUCUGACCGAGCAACGCCGCGUGAGUGAAGAAGGUUUUCGGAUCGUAAAGCU